GUAUCAUCAUCAGAUGGUUCAGUUCUAGAAUCAGACUGUGUUCCAUUAUGUCUCUGAGUCAUAGCCAUGUCCUCAGAUGAAGAGUAAAAAGAUGCACCUAAGGAGAAAAACAAUAGUGGGACUGCUUCAUAAAGUAGUGAAGCAGACUGGGAGAAAAGUGCCUGAAGUCAGUGACCAAAUAUGGUGAGGUAAGGCUAUAUACUUCAUACUGUACCUACAGAGUUGUGCCACUGUGAAUAACCUGCACUCCUAGACAUGUACUAUCUGACAACAGGCUCAGGAUAUUUUCUGAUUCUCCUCAAAUUGCAAGGAUAUUGUGCUGCAUUCAUCAUUUGCUCCCUGAACAGAAAUCAAAAAUACAACUAUCUCAUCAGAUCUUCAGAAACAGAACACUUUCCUUUAGAGUCUGGGUUUUUUUUUUCUUUUCCUAGUUCUGAUAUAGGAUAGAAGUGGGAAAGCUAGAAGGAAGGAUAUGUGAGGUGUGGUUGAGAGUAAAUUUCACUGAGUUUAAUUAUAAAAUGCUUUUCUGUAGCCUUAUAUUAAACAUUCUUAUUUCUGUGUUA